UGCAAGCUGGCAGAUAUAAUGCAACUGAUUUAGGACCAGCAUAUAAGAAAUUAUUCUUGCUUGCAA
rnacentral:tRNA from 1 species